AGGGUAGAGGCUGCAUUGUUUAAGAGUACCGCAUGCGAGAGUGACAUCGUAGACCAUGUGUGAAAGGAAACAUUGCCGAAGUCUGGUGGAACGUCAAUUCCAUGAGGCUGGGGUCAUUUCGAAAAGGGAUGGCACUGUCACGGACAGCUAUAUUGUCCAUGAUGAGCUAC
rnacentral:ncRNA from 1 species